UGUGAUCAUUAAAUGUUGAUUUAAUAUUCAAUGGGUCAUAUUAUUUGUGAGGAAAUGCUGCAGAAUGAGUUACCCACCAAAACAAAAGCAUUAGAAAAAUAAAACCUUUUUCUGACUGAAAUAAUCCCAAACAUUCAUCCCGUCGUUUCCAACCUGCUGCUAUAAAAGUCCAUUUAGAAACGAGGCGUUCCCUUCUGAUUAUUGAAUACUAGCUGACAGAAGACACCAAACCCGCACCAGUGGAUGGCGGUCCUCGUGCACACGCUUCCUGUGUGCAGACUAUCGAUUAGUGCAGCAUGCAGACACUUGGACAGACUAUUUAACUCUGACUCUGCUUGAAUAAUCCCAAAAACAUUAAGUCAGCGACGAGUUGUUGGAUGACGCAAAGUGACUCUGAGGUCCCGUGAAAAUAAAAUGUUUAAGUUUCAGGCCACAAUCUCAGACAAUUAAAUGUUAAUAAAACAGCUGUAUCUGUUGCUGGAGGAGGGAACGUAUUGACAAAAUAAAAUAUUUCCUACCGAUGCAGCUUCACAAUAAAAGCAUUUAGACAACUUUCAAUGCGGCUGUGAUAAUAGGGAAGGUCGAGUUUAAAAUGGUAACACUGCAAGAAAAUCAAGCCCAGAAAAAACAAUGUGAUGUAGAACAUGAAUAUUCAAUUCAUCAAAAUACCGCUGGGUACAUGUUGCAGAACGUCUUUCUUUCCGACGCGUUUCAAUUUGAAUGCCUAUUAAGAGGAAUAUUUAUUUCUUAUGGCUGCCAGUUCUUAGUUCAACUCAAACGUUCAUACGAACAGUUGAGUUUUAGAUCAGACCUGAAUAAGCUCUUUAGUAUGUUAUGAACAUGAGUUUCCUGUGUAUACAAAAUAAUUUGAUUAUUAACAAUGACCACAAUAAUAAUAAUAAUGUGAUCUAUCAAGUAAAACAUCUCUUCGGAAAUGAGAAAUUUGGCUUCUUUUUUGGGGGGGAACUAAAUAUCUGAAAAGAGUCAAACUGUGAAACUACGGCGGUACAUUUUAUAGAACAAUGAAUUGAUUAAUCAAAAAGAACCAUUUUCCCGCCUCUAUAAAUAUUUAAUCUGUGGAGGAACGACGUCACUGAACUAAAAUGUAACAAAUUAGAGACAUAAGUCAAUACUGCUGCAGACGUCUGGUCUCAGCUUUGAAUUCAAAUGGAUCGGGUGCAAUAAUACGAUCAAUAUACUGAUUAGAGAUUAUACUACUUAACGAUUAUCAGUGCGAGAGCAGGUAGGGGAGCAUUUUAUAAGUUAAUGGCAGAGAUUCAUGCAAAAAUGGAUCAGAUUCCAACACCUCAAACCGUCACCUCACACAAGCUUGAAAUCUUUGGUUUUAAAAAGAAAACUAGAAGCUCAAGAGAGUCGCUGAAGGCUCCUCAGUCCGGUUCCAUCCAGUUAUUCUGUGAAGACCUCCGAGUCACAGAAUGAAGCCGCUGCAAUGGUCAAUACGAAUACAAUUAUUUAGCUGCGUUUUUAGGCGGAGCAGAAAUCAUUAUAAUGAAUUAGUGGGUUGAGACGGGUCUGAUGUUGGGUUAUUUAAACCCUGAACAUCUGCAGGUAUUCUUCUGUUGAGGUAAAGAGAUUAGAGCUUGUAAACAUCGAGUCACCAUUGCUAAAAAGAAAAUUUUCAAAUUUCAAUAAAUUCAAAUUAGUGAAAUAAAUUAUAAAACAAAGAUGGUUUCAUUUUUAGAUUUUGAACUUUGAGUGUUUUAAUAAAAACAGCUGCUUGUUUCUGUGUCUGUGAUUUAAACUGAAACUGUAAACUGUCUGAUCAUAAACAAGUCUCUCCUCUAAAUAAAUAAAACGAGGCAACGCUGUCCAAUCAGAACACAGAAACCCGUCACAUCACCAGCCAGUAUUUCACCAACGCAGUCGGUCAUGAAGCGUGUCAGUCCAGAGAGACGAAGCUGCAAAAUCGAACAGAGAAGAGAAGUCAAUCAGUAAAGAGUCAGCAGCUCUCAGUCUGUCCACAUGCUGUGUCUCCGUAGUGUCUCAAUGCUCAACAACGGGCGCUUUUCAUUUCGUCUGUAUCACCAAUGUUGACCUACAAGGUCACCUUUAGGCAGCGGAUCGCCCCCCCGUGCUUCCGGGAAGUAGAGAGCGGAUCGACCCCCCGUGCUUCCGGGAAGUAGAGAGCGGAUCGCCCCCCCCGUGCUUCCGGGAAGUAGAGAGCGGAUCGCCCCCCCGUGCUUCCGGAAAGUAGAGAGCGGAUCGCCCCCCCGUGCUUCCGGGAAGUAGAGAGCGGAUCGACCGCCGUGCUUCCAGGAAGUAGAGAGCGGAUCGCCCCCC
ensembl:lncRNA